rnacentral:lncRNA from 1 species
UUUUGACCAAAUAGGUAAUAAAAUAAAAAUAGGAUGAUAUCAUCCCUUUUUCAUCUUCUCUCCACCGAUUUUUUCAGCCAACAAAUGGGUUUUGAAAGCUUCAUAUUUUCAGCAACUUUGAGGCUUAGCAAGUAAGUGAUUUUAAUGUCUUUCUUGAAGAUUUUUACAUUUUUGUAACCCCUAAAGCAUGAGCUUUCAUAAGAGGGGACUAUUGUGCAAAAUGAUGAAGAGUCUAGGGUUUUGCCAUGAGAGUAAAUGUGUUGUUUGUUGUGUUUUUAUGGAAGAUUAUGAGUUCUAGUUGUCUAAUAAACAACUUUUGUGAAAGAAAUUGCAUGAAAACACCUUAAAAAGGGCUAGAUUGCUAAGUUGUAAAAUGAGUUGUAAAUGUGUGAAAUAGUUGAAAUUAUGAGUUGCUAUAGUUAUGAAAAUGGUUCAUCUAGACUUAAGGAGUAAAGAAAUGUGAUAAAAAUUAUUUUACGAGCUUAGGGGUAAUUUGGUAAUUUUGGUAAAAUAUAGGGGCAAAAUUGUAAAAAUAGCCCAAGUGUGUCAAUGGACAUUUGAUCAGCACAUUGUUUUAAUAAGUUGAAUGUGAUAUUUUAGAUGAUGAAAAUCGAGAUUUGGACCUAGAACGGAAAGAAAUCGAUUAAGGGAUAAUUACGUCUUUUUUUUUUUUACCUUUGUGGUAUUGAGGUAAGUUCGUAUGUAAACAAUACCAUGUUAUACAUAUAUUUAAAUGUUAUCAUUACAUGAAUUGUACAAAUAUUAAUGUGUAUAUGAUUAAUAGAAAUAUGAUAAGACAAAGCCUUAAUAGACGAGGAAAAAUCCCGUUUGAACAUUUGGAAUAGAAUAGGAUACGAGUGACAUGUCACUAGGAAUUAUGAGUCUAGAUGACUAGCUCGAGAGUGAGCAUUGAAAUGUCAUGAGAUAUGAGGUAGCUUUAGCUACAAUUGAGGCACUUAUGUGCAAAGGCUUUUCCGAGUAUCCAAUUAGUAUUCCAAGUGUUCAACGAGUAAUCCAAGGAAAGAGUUGAUGAUGGUCCCAAUGAGGUAAGUCAUUGGUGAGUAUGCACUUGAGCUAUGUUACGAGUUGUGCAAGUAUGUAUACUAAGCCUAUGAGAUGCAUAAUAUGUGUUCUUACCAUGAUAGAUGAAAUGAUGUAUUAAUUUUGUGAACAAUGAUCAUGAAUGAGUAACUCAGCCUUGACAGAUUUGAGUUACUGCAGUAGUGUAACUUUGAAAAUAUACUAAAAAUAGUGGAAAAUGAUUUAGAGGUAGAAUAAAAUAUGGGAUUAAAUCUUAAUGAGUCUAUUUUCACAUGAAAGAAACAGGGGAAGAAAAAGAAUUUGAUAUUGUGUGAUAUUUGAAUUCUUGUAAAACAGGGUCUGAAUGAAUUCGAGAUCCCCUGUUCUGAUUUUAUAAAUUCACCAUAAAUUGUAAAAAAAUUAUUAAGAGUCAUACCUUACAUGAUGGAUUCCUUAUUGAGUCUAUUUUUAUGGGAAACAAACAGCAUGGUCAUUGGAAUUCUGUACAGGGAGAAAUUCGAUUCGUAGUGUACAGGGGUCAGAGUAGUCAUACCCUAAAACAUGGAAUACUUUAACUAAUAAACUGUACUAAAUGGCUUGACCAAAAAUUUUGAAAAUUUUAUGGAAGAAAGAUAAAUGAGUCUAAUUUCAGGGAAAAUUUAUGGAACUUAAUUUGGAGUUUCGUAGCUCCAGAUAUAAAUAAUUUAGUGACUGUUGUGCAGGAAACAACUUGUCGUAAACUUGAGAAUAUGUUGUAAACAUUGAUAAAACAAGUUAAUGAGUUGCUUAUUGUUUUCAUAUGAACUUACUAAGCGAAAGCUUACCCCCUUCUUUUCCAUGUUCUCUAGGGUUUCCAGGUUUGUUCCGGUUAGAGUUCGUCGGAGAUAUUAUCACACUAUCAAGCUAACGCUAUUGGUGUAGUGAUUUCAAGUAUUUUAAGUCUAUGGCAUGUAUAGGAGUUUAAAUAUUAGAGUAUGUGAUAUGGCUUUGACCAUAUGUGUUGGCCUAUUUUGAUUAUGGGAUUAUAAAUUCAUUUUAAUUAUUUGAGAUUUCAUGGCCCUGUUUAGUAUAGAAGUGUUAGUAAAAGUUAGGUAGCACCUCGAACCCCAUCCCGACGUCGGAUGCGGGCGAGAGGUGUUACAACUCUAAUGAGCUUGGAUCUGAAUACCCAGCCCAGGCUAAAUUCAAACCCUAAUUCGGAUUAACCGUCCGGGCUAAAUCCAUUUUACACGUAUUCUUCGGGAGGGCUAUAUCAGGAUAGGAUCACCCGUCCGGGCUAGAUCCUUUUUACCGUCAGUUCUUUUUCGUUCAACCGGGAUUUCUUCCCCUUUUUAUCAAAUAUAUCAAUGUUUCAUCAAUUUUCAUACAAUGAACAUUAAAAUCAUAUUCACAUCAAUAAAAUACAUUUCAAGCAUUUAAGAA